rnacentral:ncRNA from 1 species
UGCAAAGAUAAAAACACAGCCCCGGCCGGUAGUCCGGGCGCAGCGGCAAAUAUUAAUGAAAACGCUGUCAGUAACCUUCCUCCUAAGGUUGUCCGUUCUUUGUCUAU